AAAAGAUCAAGAUGUUCUAAAAAUCUAGCAAUCUUAAGCCAAUGGAAGUUUCACAUGUAGGUCUGUUCAGCGCUUCAGUACACGUGUCUUCAUCGGAGCAUAAUUCGUUCAGCUUCAGUCUCGUUCUCCUUCUGCUUCCUACUUUUGUUCGUUUGCGUUUUCUGUUUCUCGCUCAACCUGUGUUUUCGUUUGUUACGAUUUAGCAAUGGAAGUCUGUUCACUUUCGACGACCUCAAGAAGCUAUCUGUCUUCUCCUUCAACAGAGUCGCUGUUGCUUAAGAGGCUUAGACUUCCUUUACGGCAUCAAUGUUUACCAUCCAUUUCAUUGAGACGCAUUGGAUCUCUAGUUUACAAGGAAAACUCUGCGAAGGUUUUCUGCAGCCUAAAGAGGGAAAUUUCCAUUAUAGAGGCCAGUUCCAUGGACGAGAUAUAUGAUGCUUUAGUUGAGCGCCUUGUUCCUACUGCAGCAGCAGCAUCAAAUCCUAAUCUGAAACAUAUUGUAGGCUUGGCUGGUCCUCCUGGUGCUGGAAAGAGCACUUUGGGUUCUGAGGUAGUGCGACGCAUAAAUGAGUUAUGGCCUCAAAAAGCUUCUUCAUUUGAUUCUCAAGUUAAGCCUCCUGAUGUUGCUGCAAUUCUUCCCAUGGAUGGGUUCCAUCUAUAUCGUUCCCAACUUGAUGCAAUGGAGAAUCCAGAGGAAGCCCAUGCAAGAAGGGGAGCUCCCUGGACAUUUGCUCCAACUCUACUGCUUGAAUGUCUAAAGAAACUGAGAAAUGAGGGAUCAGUUUAUGCACCAUCAUUUGAUCAUGGUAUUGGAGAUCCUGUUGAAGAUGAUAUCUUUGUGAGCCUUCAGCAUAAAGUGGUCAUUGUUGAGGGGAACUAUCUUUUGUUGGAAGAAGAGGUUUGGAAGGAUAUAUCAUCUAUGUUUGAUGAGAAGUGGUUUAUAGAUGUUGACAUUGACAAGGCAAUGGAACGAGUUUUAAAAAGACAUGUCGCAACAGCAGGAAAGCCUCCUGAUGUUGCUAAGUGGCGGAUAGAUUAUAAUGAUCGGCCCAAUGCAGAGCUUAUAAUCAAGUCAAAGAAAAAUGCAGACUUGGUAAUCAGGUCUGUUGAUUUCUAAAAUCGUGCUGCUUACAAUAAUAGUGGAGAAAUAAGAAUGAGGAAUGAACUCCUAUGAUGCCAUGGGGAUGCUGCAAUAUGCACGUGAAAAUUUUGGUGAUAGAUACUUCGUGCUCCACCUAGUGGAAUUCAAAUCAAGCAUUCACAGAUAGGAUGUACCCUUGGAGACAGCAACUUGUAAACAUUUAGCUCAAAAUAGUUCUUCAUAUUUUGAUAUAUGUUAACUCAGUUAAGACAGGUUAAGUGGUAAUCGUCUCGAGUUGCGAACA